UAAGGAAUAUUGCUCAAUGGGAGAAAUCCUGAAGCAGCAACGCCGCGUGGAGGGUGAAGGGUCUAUGACUUGUAAACUCCUGUAAAGAAGGAAAAAAUUCCCAUUUGAUGGGAGAUGAUGGUACUUCUGGAGUAAGCCCCGGCUAACUACGUGCCAGCAGCCGCGGUAAUACGUAGGGGGCAAGCGUUGUCCGGAUUUACUGGGUGUAAAGGGUGCUCAGGCGGAUUUGUAAGUCAGAGGUGAAAUCUUACAGCUUAACUGUGAAACUGCCUUUGAUACUGCAAGCCUAGAGUAUGGAAGAGAGUGAUGGAAUAUCUGGUGUAGCAGUGAAAUGCGUAGAUAUCAGAUAGAACACCAAUGGCGAAGGCAGUCACUUGGUCCAUUACUGACGCUAAAGCACGAAAGCGUGGGUAGCAAACA
rnacentral:rRNA from 1 species